UACGAAGGGGACUAGCGUUGUUCGGAAUCACUGGGCGUAAAGCGCACGUAGGCGGAUUUGUAAGUCAGGGGUGAAAUCCCGGGGCUCAACCUCGGAACUGCCUUUGAUACUGCGAAUCUCGAGUCCGAUAGAGGUGGGUGGAAUUCCUAGUGUAGAGGUGAAAUUCGUAGAUAUUAGGAAGAACACCGGUGGCGAAGGCGGCCCACUGGAUCGGUACUGACGCUGAGGUGCGAAAGCGUGGGGAGCGAUCCGGAU
rnacentral:rRNA from 1 species